rnacentral:lncRNA from 1 species
CCCAACCAGAGCAAAGCUGGGGCUCACCUCAUAAUCCACGCCAUGGGGAGGAAUAAAGCCUGACAGGGACAGGAGAGACAGGGCUGGGCCUCCACGGCGCCAUGCCAGCACUAACCAGGAGAGCGAGGGCCAGCUCAAGGACCCACGCCCCACCACCCCGCUUCAGUGCUGUGCUGUUGUAUCCCUGGGGGCAGAGGAGGCUUCAAGUUGUUUUCUCCACUUACCAGCUGGAUGACUUAUGGAAACUUCUGACCUAUGUGAAAUUCCGGCACCAUAUUUAUUGAAAGGCACUCAUCUCCUUCUGUUGCAUCAUCAUUGUCAUUGUUGUCAUAAUCAUCAUUAUUAAACGUUAUGAUUGUG